UUGGGAUUUUCUCAAGGACCCGAUGUUCCAUCAUAGUAGAUUACCUAAUUUAAUUGCUAAACUUAAAACAGCCCUAAUUUCAAAGCAACACAUUUGCAAAUUGAUGAGCAAAUUGCUCCCUCACUCAUUAUUAAAACUGGAUCUUAAAUCAAAUAAACCACAAACUCAAACUUAUUCCGAAACGCAGCACACAAAGCAGUAAAUAUCAUCAACACACAUACGAAACGAUUUUUGAGCUUCAAUAUCUCCUUUUGGAGCUGCUGUAAGAAUUAACCAUCAAACACUGGAUCUGCAAAACAAAAAAUGCUACCAAAAUCUAGAAUCAUAACCAGAUUGAAUUUGUGACGAUUGACAUCUGAUCAAAAAGUAAUUUAGCCCAUUAAAUGGGAAUGCAAGCUUCGUUCCCAAUAAUCGGAAUGGGCGGGAUCGGUAAGACAACUCAAUCCUAAAUAAAUAAACAUGCUGUGAAUUCAUUCGAUCGGAGUAGUCUUACUCAAACCGCCUAUCCCGACGAUUGAGAAAACAGAACAACUCAAACAAAGUGAAAGUGAAGAAAC
rnacentral:lncRNA from 1 species